AGCUUUAACCCCCCCUCAAGUUGAACGGGUGUGGGGUGAUCAAUGCAGCCAUCAAACAAGUUCAACUUGGCGAGUAAGUGUUGAAGACGAGGAGCGGACAUAGCUUUCGUAAGAAGAUCGGCCAGCUGAUCGUCAGUUUUGAGGAAACAAAAGGCCAUAAUCAAGAAGAAGAAGAAGACAGAGAUAGAGUCGAGAGGAAGAAGAAAGUAAAACAGUAACUCAUUUCAUUCAAAAGUGACCAACCAACAACGGCUACAAUCAGACUUAUAUGAAAAGUACUGACAUUACCGUACAUGAAACAAAUAUAAAAAAUGAGAUAAGAAAUGGACCAAAAACAAGGACCCAAACUAUGACUAAAAGAGAUUAAAAUACAUAAGCCCAAUGAUAAAGAAGUAAGGCCUGGAAGUUGGAGGCCCAUGAAGGUUGAAGAAAAACAAAAGCUAGAAGCUUCGCACAGCAGAGAAGUAAACCCAGAAGGAAGCUUGGCAGCAGAGAAGGGAGGAGAU